rnacentral:rRNA from 1 species
AGUGAACGCUGGCGGUAGGCCUAACACAUGCAAGUCGAACGGCAGCACAGUAAGAGCUUGCUCUUACGGGUGGCGAGUGGCGGACGGGUGAGGAAUACAUCGGAAUCUACUUUUUCGUGGGGGAUAACGUAGGGAAACUUACGCUAAUACCGCAUACGACCUACGGGUGAAAGCAGGGGAUCUUCGGACCUUGCGCGAUUGAAUGAGCCGAUGUCGGAUUAGCUAGUUGGCGGGGUAAAGGCCCACCAAGGCGACGAUCCGUAGCUGGUCUGAGAGGAUGGUCGCCCGCACUGGAAGUGGGACACGGUCCAGGCGCCUACGGGAGGGAGCAGUGGGGAAUAUGGGACAAUAGGGGCAAGCCUGGUCCAGCCAUACCGCGUGGGUGAAGAAAGCCUUCGGGUUGUAAAGCCCUUUUGUUGGGAAAGAAAAGCAGCAGGUUGAUACCCCGCUGUUCUGACGGUACCCAAAGAAUAAGCACCGGCUAACUUCGUG